rnacentral:tRNA from 3 species
UGCCGAAGUGGCGGAAUAGGCAGACGCGCCAGACUCAAAAUCUGGUUCCUUCACGGGAGUGCCGGUUCGACCCCGGCCUUCGGCAU